rnacentral:rRNA from 1 species
CUCAUAGCGUAUAUUAAAGUUGUUGCAGUUAAAAAGCUCGUAGUUGAACUUCUGGCUAUUCUUCCAGCUGGCUUCGGUCGCUGUAAGAGUGGUCAUCCGCUUGGGAACUACGUUCGAACUUCACUGUUCGGCGUAAGGAACAGGCAUUUUACUUAGAAAAAAUUAGAGUGUUCAAGGCAGGCUGUCGCCCUGAAUACACAAGCUUGGAAUAAUGAAAUAGGACUACUUCCAUUUUAUUGGUUAUUGGAAUUAGUAAUGAUUAAUAGGGACAGUUGGGGACAUUAGUAUUUAAUUGUCAGAGGUGAAAUUCUUGGAUUUAUUAAAGACUAACUUAUGCGAAAGCAUUUGUCAAGGAUGUUUUCAUUAAUCAAGAACGAAAGUUAGGGGAUCAAAGACGAUCAGAUACCGUCCUAGUCUUAACUAUAAACUAUACCGACUAGGGAUUGGCCGGGUCUCUUUAACCGGGUCAGCACCUUAUGAGAAAUCAAAGUCUAUGGGUUCUGGGGGGAGUAUGGUCGCAAGGCUGAAACUUAAAGGAAUUGACGGAAGGGCACCACCAGGAGUGGAGCCUGCGGCUUAAUUUGACUCAACACGGGGAAACUUACCAGGUCAAGACAUAAGUGGGAUUGACAGAUUGAGAGCUCUUUCUUGAUUCUAUGGGUGGUGGUGCAUGGCCGUUCUUAGUUGGUGGAGUGAUUUGUCUGGUUA